AAUGAACGCUGGCGGCGUGCCUAACACAUGCAAGUCGGAUGUGCCGCAAGGUGCCUGGCAGACGGGUGAGUAACGCGUGGGGAAUCUACCUUUUUGUGGGGAAUAACGUUCCGAAAGGAAUGGUAAUACCGCAUGUGAUCACGGAUGGGGAUAUCUGUGAUGAAAGCCGGGGACCGCAAGGCCUGGCGCAAGAAGAGGAGCCUGCGUCUGAUUAGCUAGUUGGCGGGGUAAUGGCCCACCAAGGCGACGAUCAGUAGCCGGCCUGAGAGGGUGAUCGGCCACACUGGAACUGAGACACGGUCCAGACUCCUACGGGAGGCAGCAGUGGGGAAUUUUGCGCAAUGGACGAAAGUCUGACGCAGCAACGCCGCGUGGGUGAUGAAGGUCUUCGGAUCGUAAAACCCUGUCGUCAGGGACGAAGGUAAUGUGCCUAAUACGCAUGUUGCUUGACGGUACCUGGAGAGGAAGCCCCGGCUAACUCUGUGCCAGCAGCCGCGGUAAGAC
rnacentral:rRNA from 1 species